rnacentral:rRNA from 1 species
AGAGAGAGACAUGCGCGCAUAUCAAUAAGCGGAGGAAAAGAAACUAACAAGGAUUCCCUUAGUAACGGCGAGUGAAGCGGGAAGAGCUCAAAUUUGAAAUCUUCAAGGUUCUACCUUGACGAAUUGUAGUUUAUAGAAGUGUUUUCUGUUAGUGGAGUGGCAAAAGUUCUUUGGAAUAGGACAUCAUAGAGGGUGAGGAUCCCGUAUUUGGUCAUUCCUCCUAGCGUUGUGAUACACUUUCAACGAGUCGGAUUGUUUGGGAAUGCAGUCCAAAAUGGGUGGUAAAUUUCAUCUAAAGCUAAAUAUUGGCGAGAGACCGAUAGCGAACAAGUACCGUGAGGGAAAGAUGAAAAGAACUUUGAAAAGAGAGUUAAACAGUACGUGAAAUUGUCAAAAGGGAAGCGUUUGACACCAGUGUUGUUUUUCCGAAAAUCAAUUACGAAUGUUUUGUUUUUGAGGAGUUAUGACUUCAUCGGCUUGCUCCUUUCUUUACGGAAACUUUCUUAAUGCACUUUUCGGUUAACAAGUCAACAUCAAUUUCUUUUGUUGUAAAAGGGUAUGAGGAAGGUGGCUUUCUUUUCGGAGAAAGUGUUUAUAGCCUUGUGCCUCUGCAAUCGGAGAGAUUGAGGUCUGCAGCGUAGAUCCUUCGGGGUUAGAUACAUUUCGUGCUAAGUUAUAGCUUUUCAUAGACAACUUGUUGACUAUGUUUAGUCUUGUAGCUUACUCGCUUACUGCUAUUUUACCUACGCUUAGGAUGUUGAUAGUCACAGCGUGUAC